AGAGUUUGAUCAUGGCUCAGGAUGAACGCUGGCGGCGUGCCUAACACAUGCAAGUCGAGCGAUUUACUUCGGUAAAGAGCGGCGGACGGGUGAGUAACGCGUGGGUAACCUGCCUCAUACACAUGGAUAACAUACCGAAAGGUAUGCUAAUACAAGAUGAUAUAAGAGAUUCGCAUGGAUUUCUUAUCAAAGCUCCGGCGGUAUGAGAUGGACCCGCGUCUGAUUAGCUAGUUGGUAGGGUAACGGCUUACCAAGGCGACGAUCAGUAGCCGACCUGAGAGGGUGAUCGGCCACAUUGGAACUGAGACACGGUCCAAACUCCUACGGGAGGCAGCAGUGGGGAAUAUUGCACAAUGGGCGAAAGCCUGAUGCAGCAACGCCGCGUGAGCGAUGAAGGCCUUCGGGUCGUAAAGCUCUGUCCUCAAGGAAGAUAAUGACGGUACUUGAGGAGGAAGCCCCGGCUAACUACGUGCCAGCAGCCGCGGUAAUACGUAGGGGGCUAGCGUUAUCCGGAUUUACUGGGCGUAAAGGGUGCGUAGGUGGUUUCUUAAGUCAGGAGUGAAAGGCUACGGCUUAACCGUAGUAAGCCCUUGAAACUGGGAAACUUGAGUGCAGGAGAGGAAAGUGGAAUUCCUAGUGUAGCGGUGAAAUGCGUAGAUAUUAGGAGGAACACCAGUAGCGAAGGCGGCUUUCUGGACUGUAACUGACACUGAGGCACGAAAGCGUGGGGAGCAAACAGGAUUAGACACCCUGGUAGUCCACGCCGUAAACGAUGAGUACUAGGUGUCGGGGGUUACCCCCCUCGGUGCCGCAGCUAACGCAUUAAGUACUCCGCCUGGGGAGUACGCUCGCAAGAGUGAAACUCAAAGGAAUUGACGG
rnacentral:rRNA from 1 species